AUUGAACGCUGGCGGCAGGCUUAACACAUGCAAGUCGAGCGAGUGGCGGACGGGUGAGUAAUGUCUGGGAAACUGCCUGAUGGAGGGGGAUAACUACUGGAAACGGUAGCUAAUACCGCAUACCAUCGGAUGUGCCCAGAUGGGAUUAGCUAGUCGGUGGGGUAAUGGCUCACCAAGGCUACGAUCCCUAGCUGGUCUGAGAGGAUGACCAGCCACACUGUAACUGAGAAACGUUCCAGACUCCUACGGGAGGCAGCAGUGGGGAAUAUUGCACAAUGGGCGCAAGCCUGAUGCAGCCAUGCCGCGUGUGUGAAGAAGGCCUUCGGGUUUUAAAGUACUUUCAGCGAGGAGGCGUUACGCGCAGAAGAAGCACCGGCUAACUCCGUGCCAGCAGCCGCGGUAAUAC
rnacentral:rRNA from 1 species